AUGGCUGGAGAUCAUCCGCUGAGAAGUGGUAUGAUCCUAGAGGUCGAAGAUGGUGUUUUUUCGCAAAAGAUUACUCACCUAGCCACAGUCAGGCUUGCCCAGGCUCAAAGUCCGGCUGGCUCCGCCACAGAAAUGCAGUGUCCGAUUGGUUUCAGCAUGAUUGAGCACGUCCAAAGCUCUGAUGUGCUGGAGAAGUGUACAAAAGAUAUUCUCUCCAUAAUCAAGCCAACAGAGGACGAUCGGAACAAACGACUGCAUGUAAUUCAGGAGAUUGUGAAUUCCAUCUCUUUAGUUGGUGGCUUAGGCGAUGCUGCUGUCAAACCUUUUGGAUCCUUUCUAUCAGAACUCUACACAAAAUCAGGCGAUUUGGAUGUAUCAGUUGAGCUGCCAAAUGUCUCAGGCUUCUCUACAAGCAAGGAAAAGAAGCAAAAUCUCUUGAGAGAACUAAUGAAAGCUUUACAAAUUAGUGGUGUUGCUAGAGAUGUGAACUUCAUUCCUACUGCAAGAGUUCCAGUUCUUCAAUAUGUGAGCAACCACUUUGGCAUUUCCUGUGAUAGAUCCAUCAAUAACUACCCUGGUUGA
rnacentral:rRNA from 1 species